GAAGCAGGUGAUGACAAUCAGACAGGGACAUCAGAACCAUCUAAUGGUCAUGAUAGACCAAGUCUAUAAUGGGAAUCUCUCUGAUGUUUC
rnacentral:snoRNA from 3 species